AGACUUUUGAACUGAAUAAUGUUGAAUUCAGAGAGGUGACAGAAUUUAUUAAAUUGGAUAAAGUGAAAAUUGUAGCCUGUAAUGGUAAAAACACUGCUCCAGUACUACAGAAUGAAUAGGGAGAAAUGGCUUUUUAAUAACAUCCUUUUAUCGUUCAUGGCUUUUUGAAGAAAAGCAUAGAAAACGUAAAAAAAAAAAAAAUGUAUCCUAGCAUUGAGGAAAUGACUAUACUGUGCCAUACUAUCAGAUAAUUCCAGUAGAAAGAAGCUUAUCACUCUGUACCCUCUUAUAUUACCUUUAUUAUACAGCAUGAAGAAGUAGAAUUUUUGUUAAAAUGACAAAUCAAACAUUGUUGCCUUCCUAAGACCAUUCUUUAAUAAAUUCAUUUUAAAACUAAAAAAAAAAAAAAGUGAUGAGGAUUCCUGCCUGGGCAAUAUGACACACCAUAAUUACAUCACAGGUUUGUGGAAAUAUUUUGAGUCCCCCCAAAUACUUUGAGUUCCCUCCUUUAAAAUUAGAUUUUAAACCCUAGGCCACAAGAAUCAAUGGUACUGUCUGAGAAACUCUGAGUGAAGCCUGUUGACACAAGUGCAUUUGAAAGUUCAAAACACCAACAGAUUUGUACUCUCUGUUUAGAAAGAAAGGAGGGAGGAGGAAAACUAUCUACCUCCCAGUUUUUAUAAAGUUUAGGUUAAAUUUAUACUUAUUCUUUUUUGCUGUUGCUGUUUUUUAAUUGCUUUAUUAACUUUACAUUUUUCCAUGCAAAUGGUGAAACUCUACUGUUGACAGAAACUUAAGAGUGCCACGGCAAUCUCCAAUUAUAAGCUGGUCACGCAGAACCCACCUGACACUUAGAAAUUACAUAAGGUUCACAGCCAAUGUAUCAGUAAAGGUGUAUCAGGAAAAUGCAAGGAAAAAGAGGACCACAGUGGGAAUCACACUAUUAAUCUCACGGAACAUGGCAGGAGUCAAGGCCAAAGGCAACAUUCCUCAUGCUGGUCAGGGUGAUUAGAGAGCUGCCCCAUAAGGAUACACAGACACUUCCUCAGCUGCAGCUCCCUUACUUUUCUCAUCUCUGCUUUGAAUAUUUCCAUAUCAUCUCUAUCUCCAUCAUCAUUGGGUAUGGUCCGUUGGAAAUUAGGGGCAAGCUGGCAAGCCUGUCCUCCUGUUAUUUCCUGCUGGCUGGUGGCCCUAGCCCCUGCCCUAAGGACAGUUUUCCUCUCCAUUCUGCAUGGGCUGUUCCCUUCCUUUGUUUUCUGGGCCUAUCCUCAGUGUCUCCUGCUCCUCUGAUUCUCACAAGUGCCCUGCCACACCACUUAAUCCUGCAGACCUGAUCCUCUUCCCCUGGCCUGAUGCCAGCCUGCUGUGCACAGAGCAGUAGGGAGUUGGUACCCAGAUAGGAGUCUGUGCUUAUUUUUUAUACUUAUUUCUAUCUUGGAGAGCUAAGAUAAAUUAAUUGAAAUUUCUAAGACUUCUUACUGGAAAUGCCAGUGAAUUUUCUGUAAGAGUCAGAGAUUUGUUUUCAUAAUUAUCUUUAUGGGUUUGUUUCACCUUACAACUAUAUCUUUGUUAUAGAAAACUAAAUGCGUUACAAUGUAGGUCCUCUCCAAAGCUGUAAAGUAGGUUAUAGGAAGAUGGAUUUGCUCACUAACCCUAUGAUAACUAACCUGCUGAGCAUAACUGCAUAUUAUAAUGCAUACAAACAAAAUAUCAAAACUGGGAAGUUUCUUUUUAUAUUAAAAAACCCCCAAAACGAAACCCAAAGUCCCCAAGUGACAUAUGAGGCCCUACAGGGUCUAGUGUCCUGCCACCACCUCUUCGCCCUUAUCUCCCUGCUGCCCUGGUCCAGCUGUCCUGACCUCCCUGCUGGUCCUUUAACACAUCAGACAUGGUCCUGCCUUUGUACCUUUGGACUUGCUGUUCUGUUGGCUUAGAAAAGCCUCUCCCCCAAAUUAAGGGUCUGAUUUGCUCCCUUACUUCAUUCAAGUUUGUUAUCACUUCUUACUUCAUUCCAAUUUAUUAUCACUUAUCACUCCUUCAGGGCGGCCUUCAAAUUAUCUCAUCUAAAAUUGACCCACCCACCCCAUGCUCACAUCUAUUAUCUUCUGUUCUUUGGUUUGCCUUUUCUUCCCCAUAACACAAAUCACCAUCUGAUACUUUAUUAUAUACCUGUUGAUUGUUGAUUGCUGGUUUCCCCUACCAGAAUGUAAGCUCCAUGAAAGUGAAUCUUGGUUUUGUUUACUGCUGUAUCCCCAGCACUAGAACAAUGCCUGGUGCCCAGCAGGUACUCAGUAAAUGAAUGAAGUGAAACUAAUCAAAAGAUCUGGGUUCCAUGACAGGAAAGAGCUUGCACUGGGAACUCUAUACCAGGUAGUUUAGGAGCUGCAGAUCAUAGGGCCAGACAUGACCUUGAAAUCCCUGGGGAUUCACAGAAACCUUGGGGUGAGUACCAGACUUUCGAAAGGAGUGGAACUCUAAUGGACACCUGUCUCAUACACACAUCGUCUUAUUCCAUCUUAGUAUCACAACAGAUGAGGAAAUUGAAGAUCAGAAAGGUGAGGUGACUUACCCAAAGAUUUUCAGCUAAGUAGCAGGGCCGGAAUCUGAAAUCAGCUCUAUCUGACUCUAGAAACAAUGUUCUUUCCAAGACACCAC
ensembl:lncRNA